AAGAAACACCUGUGGCCUCUUCUCUAACCCCGCCUUCCUCCCCAAAGAGGUAGUAUUGUAACUCCAGUUAGGUCCUCUGCCCUUCUUCGGUCCACAGGGAUGAGCCCUUGAGCCUCCACCCAGCUGAGAGGAGGAAGACUGGUUUCCCUCGAGAGUCCUGUGCUUUCCAUGAGAUAUGGCAGUGACAGCAGGACUGAGGGGGUGAGCAGUUGCUGACAUAUCACGUGCAUCCUUUUAUGCCAGCGACAUGGCCUUAAAGAUGGCUUCAUCUUGCCCAGUGAAAAGAAUCAAAAAGUACUUCAAAGGACCCACUUAGAUCCACAUAAAAUACACAUUCUCUUAUCCAGUGCUCCACCAGUGACUGGUCAAGGCUCACAAGAUGAGGAGAGCGGACUCAUCACCAGGGCACAUCGCUGGUGUUUUGCUCCAAAAGGAAUUUGCUUUCAAACAGACAUGCAUUCACUAAUCUCUUUUCUAAAAAAAAGAAAGAAAGAAAGAAAGAAAGAAAGAAAGAAAGAAAGAAAAAAGAAAACCACAAACACAAAAUCUCUUCCAACUCAGCUGACUGAGUCCAAGUGGGGAUGACAGCAGCAUUCACUGGCAUGAUCCCACAGAGCCAGUGUCCAGAAUGAAAGUAAAUGUGACUUUUCAAAUCAGG